AGGGGCAUAGCUCAAUGGUAGAGCAAUUCUGCAAUUGCCUGCAGAAAGUCCCAGGUUCACUCCCUGGUGUUCUCCA